GCAAAUGUGGGCACCAAAGGCAGGGGGAAUGUCCUCAAUGAGCUGUAGGACAGCCUGGGCCACCAAGCUCCAGGAGUGGGACAGCUGCUGGCAGCCCAUGGCAGCCACUCCGCUCUGUCCCUCAGGCCAGUGACACCAAAGGCACUCUGCAGUGACCUGGGCAGGACAGAGAGCCCCUGGGAGCCUGUGCGGUGGAAUGGGGUCUUUGGGCAGGACAGAGAGCCCCCGGGAACCUGUGCGGUGGGGUGGGGUCCUUGGGCAGGACAUGUGAGUGCCAGAGCAGGAACCUCCUUUUCCAUUGGUGUGCUGGAGAGUAAGGCUGCCCUCCAUGGGGACCUAGGCAAGCUGCAGACCUGGUUUGAUGGGAACUUGGGGGACAUGGAGAGAUGCCAGGGAAAGGAGCUGGGGAAGGAGCCUGCUCUGCAGUAUGGUGACUGGCCAUCACCAGCAGGAGCCCUGUGGGAAAGGGCCUGGGCAGGCAGGGGACAUCCAGAUGUGUGGUGGACAAAGGGAGCUCGAGUGUGCAGUGUGCCCUGGAGGCAGCAGAACUGGGCUGCAUUCGGUGCUGUGGUACCAGAGCCACAGGCAGCAGCUUAAGGCAUGUGACAGCCCCUCUGCACAGCUUCACCUGGAGGAACGUGUCCAGCCUGGGGCUUCUGGUGAGAGAGAGACCAACAAAUGGGAAUAAGUCUGGGAGAAGGUCAAAAGGUGGUCAAAAAAUGAGCAUAUUGUGUUCAGGAAAGUGAGGUGGGUCUGUUGAGCCCAGAGAAGGCCACUGUCCUCAAGUGCCUAACCUGGGGUCACAGGGAAGAGAGAUUGAUGUUUCUCAGAGAAGCACCAUGAGAGGAUGAGAGUAGGCAGCCAGGAGCUGCAGGAAAGUAUAUUGUGAACAUACAGAUGAAAAAAAGUUUUGAAGUGAUAGUGGGUAAUGCCUGCAUUGCUGGUUGCCAUGCUUGGAAGGUUAUUGCAAUAUCCACUCUUGAGUAGUAGUGGAAUAGGUGACCUCCAGAAGACCUGUCAUGUUAAAUGAAUCAAUAAUUCUAAAAGAUAAUAAAGUCUGCUGAAAAAUCAAAAGUAAUCAUUGUAUUACAGGGCAAUUAACAGCUGAUGGAGACUUUACAGCAGUAAAUACUGACUGAUGAUUCACAACACAGUGGGCACCUGCUAUGCCUGAAAAAAUGAAGACAAACAUCUUGCCUGCAACAGGCUGAAGAAGGAGAACUGAAAGGAGGAUGUACCUGGAAAGGAAAGAUGAACAGUGAUGCCAUUCUCCUCAAACAGCUGAGUGUCCUGGCUACAGCUUUUGGGAAUUUUGGAUGCUUGGCUUCUCUGAUCUUUGGCACUUAUCCUGCAGCUCAUGACUCUGAUGCAGUCAGCCCACAGGCAGGGCUGCCUUGGUGUGGUACAACCUGGAGCCAUACAUUAGCUGAUCUCUAUGAAGUAUGGACAGGUAUUAUAAAGAGAAAAAAAAAUCAAAUUGUAACAGUAGAGCAGUUUGACUGAUUUUCUUAUUUCUGUGUACUGUUAAGAAGGCAUGACACUUGGUCUGCAUAUACUGCUGAUAGAGGGAUUUUCCCCAUAUUUCCUGGGACUGAUCUUAUUUCUAGCAGCAUUGAAACAAGCUAAACAAAUAAAAUGUUUCUGCUGUGUUGAAACUCACUUUUCAAAGUUAAACCUUGGAAUAACAUGACUGACUAGUGUCCCUUUAGAUUAUAAAGAAGUCAAAAAAUUAACACCACCACUUCCCAGGAGAAAUGCUUUUCUUCUUGGCACUGAUUGAAAGUAUACAGGGUGAAUGUGAAGCUCCAAAGAAAUCUCUGUGUAGGCAUUGUAAGGAAUUGAGAGCUGCUGCCAAGCAUUUCUGCAGCUCCCACAGAGACUUCAUACCAGGAGGACAACAACAGACCAAAGAAAAGCUCAGUAGAGCUUGUCACACCUGGAACAGCUGAAUGUAGGUUUAUAAUAGAAAUAUUCAGUCUGCUAAAAAACUUUCAGAUUGAUUAAAAGAAAAACAUAAACAAAAGGAAGGUAAAAUAUGAUUUACUGUUGCAUGCAAACUUCACACUGAGCGUCCUUCUCUUGUCUUCUUUUUUAGAUGCAUUUUUAUGUACUGAAAAUAAUUUUUAAUAUUCUCAA